CUACGGAGGGGGUUGGCGUUGUUCGGAAUUACUGGGCGUAAAGCGCACGUAGGCGGACUGGAAAGUUGGGGGUGAAAUCCCGGGGCUCAACCCCGGAACUGCCUCCAAAACUUCCAAUCUAGAGAUCGAGAGAGGUGAGUGGAAUUCCAAGUGUAGAGGUGAAAUUCGUAGAUAUUUGGAGGAACACCAGUGGCGAAGGCGGCUCACUGGCUCGAUACUGACGCUGAGGUGCGAAAGCGUGGGGAGCAAACAGGAUUAGAAACCCUUGUAGUCC
rnacentral:rRNA from 1 species